rnacentral:rRNA from 1 species
GAUGAACGCUAGCGGGAGGCCUAACACAUGCAAGCCGAGCGGUAUUGUUUCUUCGGAAAUGAGAGAGCGGCGUACGGGUGCGUAACACGUGUGCAACCUGCCUUUAUCUGGGGGAUAGCCUUUCGAAAGGAAGAUUAAUACUCCAUAAUAUAUUGAACGGCAUCGUUUAAUAUUGACAGCUCCGGCGGAUAGAGAUGGGCACGCGCAAGAUUAGGUAGUUGGUGAGGUAACGGCUCACCAAGGCGAUGAUCUUUAGGGGGCCUGAGAGGGUGAUCCCCCACACUGGUACUGAGACACGGGCGAGACUCCUACGGGAGGCAGGAGUGAGGAAUAUUGGUCAAUGGGUGCAAGCCUGAACCAGCCAUCCCGCGUGAAGGACGACUGCCCUAUGGGUUGUAAACUUCUUUUGUAUAGGGAUAAACCUACCCACGGGAAGGUAGCUGAAGGUACUAUACGAAUAAGCACCGGCUAACUCCGUGCCAGCCGCCGCAGUAACAC